rnacentral:rRNA from 1 species
CCUACGGGGGGCUGCAGUCGAGGAUCUUCGGCAAUGGGGGGAACCCUGACCGAGCGAUGCCGCGUGCGCGACGAAGGCCUUUGGGUUGUAAAGCGCUGUCGAGGGGGGGAAAGCCCGCGAGGGUUGAUCGAUCCCUGGAGGAAGCUCGGGCUAAGUUCGUGCCAGCAGCCGCGGUAAGACGAACCGAGCGAACGUUGUUCGGAAUCACUGGGCUUAAAGGGCGCGUAGGCGGGCCGCCGCGUCCGGGGUGAAAUCUGUCCGCUUAACGGGCAGAC